rfam:Onchocerca volvulus assembly O_volvulus_Cameroon_v3 genomic scaffold, OVOC_OM1b
GGUCCCGUGGUGUAGUGGUUAGCACUCAGGACUCUGAAUCCUGCGACGAGAGUUCAAAUCUCUCCGGGACCU